rnacentral:rRNA from 1 species
AGUGAACGCUGGCGGUAGGCCUAACACAUGCGAGUCGAACGGCAGCACAGUAAGAGCUUGCUCUUACGGGUGGCGAGUGGCGGACGGGUGAGGAAUACAUCGGAAUCUACUUUUUCGUGGGGGAUAACGUAGGGAAACUUACGCUAAUACCGCAUACGACCUACGGGUGAAAGCAGGGGAUCUUCGGACCUUGCGCGAUUGAAUGAGCCGAUGUCGGAUUAGCUAGUUGGCGGGGUAAAGGCCCACCAAGGCGACGAUCCGUAGCUGGUCUGAGAGGAUGAUCAGCCACACUGGAACUGAUACACGGUCCCGACUCCUACGGGAGGCAGCAGUGGGGAAUAUUGGACAAUGGGCGCAAGCCUGAUCCAGCCAUACCGCGUGGGUGAAGAAGGCCUUCGGGUUGUAAAGCCCUUUUGUUGGGAAAGAAAAGCAGCAGGUUAAUACCCCGCUGUUCUGACGGUACCCAAAGAAUAAGCACCGGCUAACUUCGUG